CGCUGGCGGCGUGCCUAAUACAUGCAAGUCGAGCGGACCAACUUAAGAGCUUGCUCUUAUGAGGUUAGCGGCGGACGGGUGAGUAACACGUGGGCAACCUGCCCUGUAGACUGGGAUAACAUCGAGAAAUCGGUGCUAAUACCGGAUAAUUGUUGGAACUGCAUAGUUCUAACUUGAAAGAUGGCUCCGGCUAUCACUAUAGGAUGGGCCCGCGGCGCAUUAGCUAGUUGGUAAGGUAAUGGCUUACCAAGGCGACGAUGCGUAGCCGACCUGAGAGGGUGAUCGGCCACACUGGGACUGAGACACGGCCCAGACUCCUACGGGAGGCAGCAGUAGGGAAUCUUCCGCAAUGGACGAAAGUCUGACGGAGCAACGCCGCGUGAGUGAUGAAGGUUUUCGGAUCGUAAAGCUCUGUUGUUAGGGAAGAACAAGUGCCGUUCGAAUAGGGCGGCACCUUGACGGUACCUAACCAGAAAGCCACGGCUAACUACGUG
rnacentral:rRNA from 1 species